AGCAGCCGCGGUAAUUCCAGCUCCAAUAGCGUAUAUUAAAGUUGUUGCAGUUAAAAAGCUCGUAGUUGAAUUUCGGAAUUUAUCGGUUGGUCGGGCUUCACUGUCCGCACUGGCCUGAUGGAUUCCUACCUUCUGAAUAACCAGCAUGCUAUUAAUUUAGUGCGUUGGGGAAGCAGAGCUAUUACCUUGAAAAAUUAGAGUGCUUAAAGCAGGCUUACGCUUGAAUAGAUUAGCAUGGAAUAAUAAAAUAGGACGGCUUGGUUCUAUUUUGUUGGUUUCUAGGAUCACCGUAAUGAUUAAUAGGGAUAGUUGGGGGCAUUAGUAUUCAAUUGUCAGAGGUGAAAUUCUUGGAUUUAUUGAAGACUAACUUCUGCGAAAGCAUUUGCCAAGGAUGUUUUCAUUAAUCAAGAACGAAAGUUAGGGGAUCGAAGACGAUCAGAUACCGUCGUAGUCUUAACCAUAAACUAUGCCGACUAGGGAUCGGACGAUGUUAAUUUUUAAUGUACUCA
rnacentral:rRNA from 1 species